rnacentral:misc_RNA from 1 species
AGCUUCCAGAGAACUCCCAGCGUAAGAUUUAGUUUUAAACUUCUGUUAUUUACCUCUUGUUUGGAACAAAUGGAUUUUCCACUUUAUAUUGUCAUGAAAUUCAUUUGCCAUUCCAUUAUUGUUAUGUUAGACAUCGUAUGAUUUCAUUUGAUGGAAUUUAACAUAAUUAGCAAAAAUUAGUCUAAAUUAUAUUAAAUAGGUGGAAUUUUCAAACGAUUCCAAUAUAUUGUAGACUUAUAUGGCUCACCGAAAAAAAGAUCUCACUAGUUCUCCCCCUCUCUCAUGUUACUAGCUUGAUUGAAGCAUGUGCCUACUUUUUGAUCCUUUUUUGAUUCUUUCCUCGUAGUAGUUGCUCAGUCGUGGAACAUGAGCAAUUAAACAAAAACAUUAUCUUAUAUUUUAAGAAGUGCAAAUGGUAAAAGAGUUGGUUGUUAUACUGCAUAUGAACACGAG